GAGGAAUAUUGGUCAAUGGACGAGAGUCUGACCCAGCCAAGUAGCGUGAAGGAUGACUGCCCUAUGGGUUGUAAACUUCUUUUUAUACGGGAAUAAAGUGAGGCACGUGUGCCUUUUUGUAUGUACCGUAUGAAUAAGGAUCGGCUAACUCC
rnacentral:rRNA from 1 species